rnacentral:rRNA from 1 species
GGCCAUACCAUGCUGAAUAUACCGGCUCUCGUUAGAUCACCGAAGUCAAGCAUCAUUGGGCGAGGUCGGUACUUGGGUUACCACCUGGGAACACCGCGUGGCGU